UUUCCCACAUAUACAUUUAUAUACCUUGCGUAUAUGUACUUUUCCUGAAAACAAUCGCAGGAAGCGUCUGUAGUUCGUGGGAGUGUUGUUUGAAUAGUUGUGGAAAUUUGGUCUUGUAAAAAAAGUACAUAAAUGUAUUUUACCGAUGUUGUAAAUUUACGCUGUAGCAUCCAGCUAGCUAUACAGCUUCAUUGAAUUAAAAGCUUGUGGACAAAUGAAACAAAAAACAUUGCAGUGUGUGGGAAAGUAUCCAUGAUGAAAGUGAAGAUCGUGAGGGUGUUCAUAGCAUUAGAGCACGAUCGAAAAGUGAUGUUGGCAAAGACCUGCUGGUAUAUGAUUAGCCAACCCAGGAACUUAACCAACUGUAGCCCCCGGACUCCUGCAAUAUGGCGAAACAUUCAAGAGUUUGUGACGAACGAUGCAGAACUUCACCGAGAGUGGUUUCGUAGACUACUCUUCGACAACUUCCAGGACAGUGUGUUUGUUGCUUCCGUUGAUGCAGAAGUUAAGAAUGAAUUUACAACAGGCAAUUCAAUUUAUUACUGUAUCAACUAUAGGGCUUGUUUGAAGCAAUACUCGAGGAAAAAUGUUACUUGAAAUUUUUCUUAGAUUCAGUUAAAUACAUAGUCCAAUAGGAUAUGGUGAAUAUAAGAAAGCUGACAGGGAAAAUGAUUAAAGAUAGCUGAUCCAAUCUGCCUCGCUGGGAGCCUGCAUACAGGAGUGCAACAUCUGCGACGUUCCGAAACCUGAAAUGAACAAGUAAAAUGCUCAUUUUGGGGAAGGAAGGAUGCAACAACCAACCUGUCUUGGCCUUUUGGUUGCAUUCACUUCUGAGAUAUGAGCCUUAAUCUCACCUUUUCCUGGUCAUCACAGACGACACUUUCUGGGCGCUUUGUACAGUGUCUUGUAUAUUGCUGAGGGAAGCUGACGUUGUUUUGCUGUUGUGAUCGUGUGGUUGAAUCUUGUUAGUGCCUGAAACCUUUAGGGUGGCAUGCUCCAGACCAUUUUCGCGUUGAAAUGAUGCCGAAUUUAUCUGUUGGGUGUAAAUGUUGGCUUACCCUAUGCUCAAGC